CACGUAGGGGGCAAGCGUUGUCCGGAUUUAUUGGGCGUAAAGAGCUCGUAGGCGGUUCGCUAAGUCGGGUGUGAAACCUCCAGGCUCAACCUGGAGACGCCACCCGAUACUGGUGUGACUCGAGUCCGGUAGGGGAGCGUGGAAUUCCUGGUGUAGCGGUGAAAUGCGCAGAUAUCAGGAGGAACACCAGUGGCGAAGGCGACUACCUGGCCUGUUCUUGACGCUGAGGCGCGAAAGCUAGGGGAGCAAACGGG
rnacentral:rRNA from 1 species